UACCGUCUUUCCCCAAACAACACAGAAUGACUAGCAUUCACAAUUAUAUGUACUUAGGGUGCAAUACCGUCUUUCCCCAAACAACACAGAAUGACUAGCAUUCACAAUUAUAGGUACUUAGGGUGCAAUACCGUCUUUCCCCAAACAACACAUAAUGACUAGCAUUCACAAUUAUAGGUACUUAGGGUGCAAUACCGUCUUUCCCCAAACAACACAGAAUGACUAGCAUUCACAAUUAUAGGUACUUAAGGUGCAAUACCGUCUUUCCCCAAACAAAACAGAAUGACUAGCAUUCACAAUUAUAGGUACUUAGGGUGCAAUACCGUCUUUCCCCAAACAACACAGAAUGACUAGCAUUCACAAUUCUAGGUACUUAGGGUGCAAUACCGUCUUUCCCCAAACAACACAGAAUGACUAGCAUUCACAAUUAUAGAUACUUGGGGUGCAAUACCGUCUUUCCCCAAACAACACAGAAUGACUAGCAUUCACAAUUAUAAGUACUUAGGGUGCAAUACCGUCUUUCCCCAAACAACACAGAAUGACUAGCAUUCACAAUUAUAUGUACUUAGGGUGCAAUACCGUCUUUCCCCAAACAACACAGAAUGACUAGCAUUCACAAUUAUAGGUACUUAGGGUGCAAUACCGUCUUUCCCCCAAACAACACAUAAUGACUAGCAUUCACAAUUAUAGGUACUUAGGGUGCAAUACCGUCUUUCCCCAAACAACACAGAAUGACCAGCAUUCACAAUUAUAGGUACUUAGGGUGCAAUACCGUCUUUCCCCAAACAACACAGAAUGACUAGCAUUCACAAUUAUAGGUACUUAGGGUGCAAUACCGUCUUUCCCCAAACAACACAGAAUGACUAGCAUUCA